CCGUAAGAGGAGUUCCCUGGUUUCCCAAGAGGUCUUCAGACGCUUCUCCAACUUUUGUAUUAGACGGUAAAAAAAAUUCUUCUCUCGGAAGUUUAUGACUUUGGACUUGCUUGAGAUGACCCUUGAGCCAAGAAGCUUUUCCUGCUUUGUGUGGACAGGAAUAUUAGAGGCAUUGAUGUCUGAAACCAACAAGUGUCUUGCAAAGAAAGUAAAAAGAAACAUUGAUGUUGGUCAUCCUCUGAGUGAUGCUGAAGCCUGGUAAGAA